UGGGGAAUAUUGGACAAUGGGGGAAACCCUGAUCCAGCAAUGCCGCGUGAGUGAUGAAGGUCUUCGGAUUGUAAAGCUCUUUUGGCAGGGACGAUGAUGACGGUACCUGCAGAAUAAGCUCCGGCUAACUUCGUGCCAGCAGCCGCGGUAAUACGAAGGGAGCAAGCGUUGUUCGGAUUUACUGGGCGUAAAGGAUGCGUAGGCGGUUUAGAAAGUUAGGUGUGAAAGCCCUGGGCUUAACUCAGGAAUAGCAUUUAAAACUCCUAGACUCGAGUAUGGUAGAGGUUGGUGGAAUUCCCAGUGUAGAGGUGAAAUUCGUAGAUAUUGGGAAGAACAUCGGUGGCGAAGGCGGCCAACUGGACCAUAACUGACGCUGAGGCAUGAAAGCGUGGGGAGCAAA
rnacentral:rRNA from 1 species